AAAGCCAAAACCAGCCAUAACACAAACCAAUGCUAAAUUACAUAUCAGAAAAAAAAUUUGUUAACCUUUCUUUUAGAAGCAUUCUUACACAAGUUUUAUGUUGUGUUUUUUUGCAGUGUGAAGAAAUCUUCUUACCACGAGUACCCGGAUAAUUUGUGUCAUAGUGGACCAUCAUGUUGGCCUUCCUCAUCACCAUAUCCUGAAGACCCAUUUGGUAUGUCUCCAAGGCCAUCCCCUUCAUUGCCACUGCCAGUUUCUAAGGCUGCUCUGAGGACUCUUGCCUUCCUCGGUCAAUUUUUAUUCAAUGUGCUACAAUUGUUCUUGUUAAAAUUUAUCAUUUAUUUUCUGAUUUGAAUAAGCAUAUCUAGUCGAGAAUAACCCAUGUCUUUUAUUCAAUUCUACCUUUACCCUUCCCCCCUGAAAGAAAAGAAAGAUUUCAAUUUGGUGUUUUUAGGUGUACAAAAUUUUUGUACAAAGCCAUUUUUCUUUUUUUUCAUCUUUUUUAUUCUCUAUUGUAAACUUUGUUGCUAUUUACAUGGUUUGAGGACUUAAUUUAGACAAUUUUUAUGCCCAUUUGAUUAUAGUGGAAUUCCGUUUAUUGA